GCCUUCUGCAACGACUCGCAGCGCCAGGCCACCAAGGACGUGGGUGCCAUCGUGGGGCUAAACGUGCUGAGGAUUAUCAAUGAGCCCACUGCGGCCGCUACCGCCUAUGGGCUGGACCGGCAGGGCGCCAGAGAGCGCAAAGUGCUCAUUUUUGACCUGGGCGGGGGCACCUUCGACGUGUCAGUCCUCAACAUCGAUGCCGGUGUCUUUGAGGUGAAGGCCACCGCUGGAGACACCCACCUAGGUGGAGAGGACUUCGACAAGCGGUUGGUGAGCCACUUCAUGGAGGAGUUCCGGUGGGAGCACGGCAGGGAUGUGAACGGGAAUAAGCGGGCCCUGCGAAGGCUGCGCAUGGCCUGUGAGUGCACCAAGCACACCCUGUCCUCCAGCACCCAGGCCACCCUGGAGAUAGACUCCCUGUUCGAAGGCGUAGACUUCUACACGUCCAUCACUCGUGCCCGCUUUGAGGAGCUAUGCCAGACCUCUUCCGCAGCACGCUGGAGCCUGUGGAGAAGGCCCUGUGGGAUGCCAAGCUGGACAAGGCACAGAUCCAUGACAUCGUCCUGGUGGGCGACUCCACCCGCAUCCCAAAGGUGCAAAGCUGCUGCAGAACUUCUUCAACGGCAGGGAUCUAAACAUGAGCAUCAACCCUGAUGAGGCCGUGGCCUAUGGGGCUGCGGUGCAGACGGCAGUGUUGCUGGGGGACAAGGGUGAGAAAGUGCAGGAUCUCCUGCUGCUGGAUGUGGCUCCCCUGUCCCUAGGGCCGGAGACAGCAGGUGAGGUGAUGACCACGCUGAUCCAGAGGAAUGCCACCAUCCCCACGAGGCAGACCCAGACCUUCACCACCUACUCUGACAACCAGCCUGGGGUCCUGAUCCAGGUGUAUGAGGGUGAGAGGGCCAUGACCAGGGACAACAACCUGCUGGGGUACUUUGAACUCAGUGGCAUUACCCCGGCCUCACGUGGAGUCCCCCAGAUCGAGGUGACC